ACACAUCUAUACGCACACACGCAUGCACCCCUAUGCACUCAUACUAUCACGAGGGCGCGCCUUGGAUAGUGAGCACUGACGACUAGCGCUCGCGCUCUCUUCUUCCUUACCUCCUUCCUCCGCCGGCAGGCGAGUGUGCACGAGCCGCCGCGGGCAAAAAGAAAAGAGGACGCGCUCUUUUCUUUGCUCUUUUUAGCUUUUUUUUUUGUGCGCUGCUCUCUGUGCAUGAAGGCGCGACGCGAUCGGUGGUGGGUGUGGAGGGCGAUUGGGCCUACAGCGUCGAGUGGAGACGACAUCGUCGCUCCGGGUGCCGGCGUUGCUUCUGGUCUCCCUUUUGUCGCAGGGCCCCACUGGCCUCGCGGCUCCUUCUCUCUCUUUAUUUCCACUGUCUGUGCCUCCCGAGUAGGUCUCGCCCAUGCGAGUUCCUUGAUGUCGUCACCCGGUUACGACAGGACGCUGCAAGGACGGGUGGCCCCGCCCUCUCGCCCGUACACAGGCACGAGCAUAUACGGGUACCGAUGCGCCUGUGCAAGAAGCGGCGCUCUGUUCCCGCCGGCGCGGCCCUCGCUGUAGGCGGCAUAACCGCACACACCAGCCCGGCAGUCGGAUCGGUGGAGACGAAUGCGCGGACUCGCUGACUCGCCUCGGUGCAACUCUCUCACUCCUCUUCUCUCUCUUUCUCUCUCUCACGCUGGGGAAAG
rnacentral:misc_RNA from 1 species